UGCAGCCCUCUGGACCCCGAGGUUGGACCCUACUGUGACACACCUACCAUGCGGACACUCUUCAACCUCCUCUGGCUUGCCCUGGCCUGCAGCCCUGUUCACACUACCCUGUCAAAGUCAGAUGCCAAAAAAGCCGCCUCAAAGACGCUGCUGGAGAAGAGUCAGUUUUCAGAUAAGCCGGUGCAAGACCGGGGUUUGGUGGUGACGGACCUCAAAGCUGAGAGUGUGGUUCUUGAGCAUCGCAGCUACUGCUCGGCAAAGGCCCGGGACAGACACUUUGCUGGGGAUGUACUGGGCUAUGUCACUCCAUGGAACAGCCAUGGCUACGAUGUCACCAAGGUCUUUGGGAGCAAGUUCACACAGAUCUCACCUGUCUGGCUGCAGCUGAAGAGACGUGGCCGUGAGAUGUUUGAGGUCACGGGCCUCCACGACGUGGACCAAGGGUGGAUGCGAGCUGUCAGGAAGCAUGCCAAGGGCCUGCACAUAGUGCCUCGGCUCCUGUUUGAGGACUGGACUUACGAUGAUUUCCGGAACGUCUUAGACAGUGAGGAUGAGAUAGAGGAGCUGAGCAAGACCGUGGUCCAGGUGGCAAAGAACCAGCAUUUCGAUGGCUUCGUGGUGGAGGUCUGGAACCAGCUGCUAAGCCAGAAGCGCGUGGGCCUCAUCCACAUGCUCACCCACCUGGCCGAGGCUCUGCACCAGGCCCGGCUGCUGGCCCUCCUGGUCAUCCCGCCUGCCAUCACCCCCGGGCCUGGCCCUAAUGCACCCCUGUCCUGGGUUCGAGCCUGCGUCCAGGUCCUGGACCCCAAGUCCAAGUGGCGAAGCAAAAUCCUCCUGGGGCUCAACUUCUAUGGUAUGGACUACGCGACCUCCAAGGAUGCCCGUGAGCCUGUUGUCGGGGCCAGACACUGAAGGACCACAGGCCCCGGAUGGUGUGGGACACCCAGGCCUCAGAGCACUUCUUCGAGUACAAGAA
rnacentral:sRNA from 1 species